rnacentral:rRNA from 1 species
GAUGAACGCUGGCGGCGUGCCUAAUACAUGCAAGUCGAGCGAACGGACGAGAAACUUGCUUCUCCGGUGUUAGCGGCGGACGGGUGAGUAACACGUGGGUAACCUACCUAUGAGACUGGGAUAACUUCGGGAAACCGUAGCUAAUACCGGAUAAUAUUUUGAAACGCAUGGUUCAAGAGUGAAAGAUGCUCUUGCUGUAACUUAUAGAUAGAUCCGCGUUGAAUUAGCUAGUUGGUAAGGUAAAGGCUUACAAAGGCAGUGUUACAUAGCCGACCUGAGAGGGUGAUCGGCCACAAUGGGACUGAGACACGGCCCAAACUCCUACGGGAGGGAGCAGUAGGGAAUCUUCGGAAAUGGACGAAAGUCUGAACGAGCAACGCCGCGUGAGUGAAGAAGGUUGUCGGAUCGUAAAACUCUGUUGGUAGAGAAGAACGUUGGUGAGAGUGGAAAGCUCAUCAAGUGACGGUAACUAACCAGAAGGGGACGGCUAACUACGUG